AAAGGCCAUCAAAUCUGGGGGAAGGGAUCUAUUUUCUUGCACAUGAUGUUACACAAGCUUCUACACUCCGUCUUCUUAUUCUCUGUAGAGUCGCUUCAGUGCUUGACGUCAUGGGGGUGCGGCGGCGCUGCUAUCGUGCUUGGUGGGCGAAAACCGCGCGAUAAUUGAGUCAUUGUGUGUUUUCGGUCAUUAUUAAGGGCAUGCCGCAAAGUGGUGUAGCCAUUGCAUGUCCUUCGCGGUACAGAAUGGAGAAAUACGUCGCAUACACCGUGCGGUUUCCUACUCCAUUUCCUCUACCAGCGACGUCUACUCCAUACGCGUGAGCGGACGCACCCUCUCGUUUACAGACUGAAGUGGGUGUAUGCGUUACAUAAUGCCAAAUAUAUUUUCCUCCAGAGCUUGUUAGUUGAUUGGCAGAUCCCCUGCUAGGCUUGCAACUAGCAUCUCUCGUGCGUUGUUUUCUUUCUUCGUUUCAUUUCUAAUCUCCCUAAUUGCUGUGAAGGAGGCUAUCCCUGAUCACAGCCAACGGUCGCAUAUUCGCUGAUGGGCAGCCCAUUGGGCCAGCGUGCAUAAAUUUCUACUAAGGCAGGUGAUGAGAAAGAAGCUACGUGGCGGCACUGUAUACCAGACUCACCGUGAGGCCAUUACAUCGGUCUUUGUGUUUUCUAAAAAGGAGCUGUAAAGUAAAUGGCACGCAUGUAGAACCUUUGUGGUUUCCUCAAAGCUCGUAACUUGGGCGCUUCAGAUGCCUAACGUCUCAGCUGUAAAUCCUCCUGCUUUUUCAGCAGUUGAAUUUCAAAAAUUGCUUGCUAAGCAAAGGAUGCCGAAUCCGCGGGCUACUCAGACGCGACACCCCUUAGGCGGCUAGAACGCCGUCUACUGAAAAGGAGACAAGCACCCAAGCCUGAUAUCCGUAUGAACUAUGAAGUGCCUGGAUGCGAGUUUUCGGAGGCAGCAGCGAUACAGAGACGCGCAGAGAGAGAAAGACCAACAGAGGGCGCGGACCGAGCACAUACUCGAAAACUUCUGUUGCUACACUCGUAUUCUGUUCUAGCAUUGCUCUGAAUUCAUUAAUCAUUGGUACUGAUCUUUUAUCACGAUAUUAUUGUUGCUUCACAAUGCCCUUCAACCUUUGAUCGUCCAUAUCGGCUUCCUCGUGCAGUUCCAAUUCUCCUGUUUUUUCUAUGUUACAUACAUGGCAUUCCCUAUCGGCGAGAUGUUCAUUUGCAUUCUUUCUCUUUAUUCUGUUUCUGUGUCUUCCUUGGAUUCAGUGUAUGAAAUGCUUCAUUGUUUGUUUGAAUCUAGUCUUGUGUACAUGCAUUUGUCUACUUUUUGUGUGCCUCAGUCUACUUGCAAGGAUACGAUAUACGGUCGACGGGUAUAAGGAAGACGCACACUACCAACCCACUGUCUCCUGUUAUGUGUCAGAUGAAACAGACCUGUUCCCACGAAAUCAGGGUGUCGAACCGCAAAAAAUACGGGUUCGGUUCGGGUUCGCGUUGUUUUGAUUUCGUUCCGGUUCAGUUCCGGUUCGGCCACGCCAAAAACCGAACCGGUUCGCAAACCGGUUCGCAGCCCCGAACCGGUUCGCGAACCGGUUCAACGCUUCCGUUUUAUAUGUUCCAUAAAACUGCUUUUAUCAGGAAAUGCGUGGCUAAUAGCUUACUGCUGUUGUCUGCAUUGACGUCUUUAGCGGUGAGGUAGCUCUUUAGCGAGAGAAAUAAGAAAUGGAUGAACACUUAUUGCAAAUAGAGUCCACGCUGAUGAAACGGUGUUGUCCCGCUACUUUCUGUUCCCAAAAUCUCUUUUUCACACGCACAGUGCCAGCAAGAUAAACUUAAAGGAAGCCUAAUAAGAUGGACAGCGUAAGAUAGACGACAGUACUUGCCGGCACACUGCCUUCGCAGCGUGAAUCGAUCUGAAACCGUACUGAAGCAUGACGAAAAUAAGCCUGCCAGCCUUACUCUGUCCGAGCUCACAGCAGUGUACUAGUUAAUUCACCUCACAAAGGUGGUGGUGGUGGUGGUGGUGAUAGGGCUUGCCGUUGACAAAGGCAAUGUAUCACGACACAACUGCACUACCAAUAAGCAGAACCACAUUUACUUUUGAAACCACGACCAAUCAAACAGGCACCGUUCUGCGUACGCUCCUUCUCCACUUCUCAUGUUUCUGACUUGUUUAAUUUUUACUGCUCACGUGUAAAAAGAAAUCUUGGGCGCUUAUUUGAUCACAUAUUCGUCGAGUAGAGCUACAUAACUGGCCAACUCCAUUCCUGUUGCAUUCGUCCGCGUGGCACCUUGUCUCUGAAGAGUAGACGCCGCAUCACCGCGUGGGGCGCCAGCCUGGGCGCUCACAAGGACAACUGAGCUUCAACAUGUUAAAAAGAUGCUGAAAGUAUACUUACUAUACGUCGUCGUCUGACUGCUAGGUGAAAAUUUCUGAAAUCCAUGAUAUAGGCGCGUGAUGAUGAUACCGAUGUGUCUUCGUUCGGGGAUAGGGAGGAACUCUUGUGCUGACUUCUAUGUCCGAACCGUUUUGUUGCGAAUCGGUUACCGCUAUUAUUUUUUAUGGUUCUGCUCCGGUUCGGGUUCAGCAGUGUUCUGAAAAUUUCUGUUCGGGUUCAGUUCCGGCAAAAAUAACGGUUCAGGUACGGUUUUCGGUUCGGGUUCGGUUCGACACCCUGCACGAAAUGACCGUCGUAGUCUCCAGAGUCAAUUAAGGAAAUAAGCAGAGGUAUCGAUAAACAAUGAAAUCUCAAAGGCACUAGACAACAACCUAAAAUACAGCAGCGACGACAUAUCAUUGCUGCUUUUAUUAUACCACUUGAUCCCAGAGUAAAAAAACAA